UACGUAGGGGGCAAGCGUUGUCCGGAAUCAUUGGGCGUAAAGCGCGUGUAGGCGGCCUUGUAAGUCCGUUCUGAAAGCCCGGGGCUCAACCCCGGGAGGCGGAUGGAUACUGCAAGGCUCGAGUACGGAAGAGGCGAGUGGAAUUCCUGGUGUAGCGGUGAAAUGCGCAGAUAUCAGGAGGAACACCAAUUGCGAAGGCAGCUCGCUGGGACGUUACUGACGCUGAGACGCGAAAGCGUGGGGAGCGAACAGG
rnacentral:rRNA from 1 species